ACUGCUCAGUAACACGUGGAUAACCUGCCCUUGGGUCCGGCAUAACCCCGGGAAACUGGGGAUAAUUCCGGAUAACGCACAUAUGCUGGAAUGCUUUAUGCGUAAAAUGGAUUCGUCUGCCCAAGGAUGGGUCUGCGGCCUAUCAGGUAGUAGUGGGUGUAAUGUACCUACUAGCCAACAACGGGUACGGGUUGUGAGAGCAAGAGCCCGGAGAUGGAUUCUGAGACAUGAAUCCAGGCCCUACGGGGCGCGGCAGGCGCGAAAACUUUACAAUGCGGGAAACCGUGAUAAGGGGACACCGAGUGCCAGCAUCAUAUGCUGGCUGUCCAGGUGUGUAAACUACACCUGUUAGCAAGGGCCGGGCAAGACCGGUGCCAGCCGCCGCGGUAACACCGGCGGCCCGAGUGGUGAUCGUGAUUAUUGGGUCUAAAGGGUCCGUAGCCGGUUUGGUCAGCCCUCCGGGAAAUCUGAUAGCUCAACUAUUAGGCUUUCGGGGGAUACUGCCAGGCUUGGAACCGGGAGAGGUAAGAGGUACUACAGGGGUAGGAGUGAAAUCUUGUAAUCCCUGUGGGACCACCUGUGGCGAAGGCGUCCUACCAGAACAGGUCCGACGGUGAGGGACGAAAGCUAGGGGCACGAACCGGAUUAGAUACCCGGGUAGUCCUAGCCGUAAACGAUGCCCGCUAGGUGUCACGACGGUCGUGAAUCGUCGUGGUGCCGUAGGGAAGCCGCGAAGCGGGCCACUUGGGAAGUACGGCCGCAAGGCUGAAACUUAAAGGAAUUGGCGGGGGAGCACA
rnacentral:rRNA from 1 species